CGAGGUCUAAUGUUAAGAUUAUUACAUUUUGACUUUUCUUCCGAGGCAUCAGUGCACACAUGCUUGAAUUUGUUGGCAAGUGGAGAGAUGAGAGAUGUUUAAAAGGGUUUAGAGGAGAAUGGGAUAGUUGUAUGGACAAGUCAUUCCUCAUAUAAUCCUCAAAGGAGAUGUGAUAUGAGAAUGUCAGGGUGAACACGAGAUACACAAAGGGUGCCCCAACUUAAUGUUAUGGAAAAUGAGCUGGGGUUUGGAUCCAUGAAAGUUAGGGUGAGAAAAUUUCAAAUGAGAUUGGCAAAGCUGCCCCAGUCUUGAGGUUAUGGAUUGAUGAAAAACUUGUGUGAGACUCACAAAGUUGUCCUGGUUUUUGUUUGCUUUUUUUUUCUUUGCUUAUUGUGGUAUAGGUUGACGAAAAACUCGGGUGAGACUCACAAAAUUGUUCCAGUUUUUUCUUUGGCAAGGGUUCUGUUUGGAAGAGGUAUUGGGCAUGAAAAGGAUCAGCUAAAAGGAUGGCCUCAAAUUAGUUUGAUUUUUCUUUUGCAUGCUUCUGGUUAGACGACAGGGUGAUCCCCUCUUCGCGAGACAUUACUUUUUCUUCUUUUUUUUUUUCUUUUUUUUCUUCUCUUUUUAUUUUACAACACAUUGAAAAUCAUUUCCCCUUAUCGCAAAGUUAAGCUUCAUGAAAACUUUAGCAAACAUUAUCCAAUCUGCAUGGACUUUAUUAAGCUUGUAACGUGGCUAAGGGCUAAAAGGUAUUGAAAGAAAUGAUAUAAAGGCCCAAAUGAAUGUUUGUUGGUUAUUAUUUUUUGAAACAAGGGUUAUCAUCUAAGUAUUGCAUCAACUAUUUGACUUUUUGAACACUUUGUUUUUUCCUUGAACUUCGUUUUUCAUUCUUUUUGCUCAACAUCACUUUGUGAUUUUUUGUUGUUCUUUUUGCUUUGUCUUUUGUUUUUUUUUUAUUCACUCUUCUUGAUGAAUUCUCUUUGUUUGAUCACCGAGUGCUCUUUAUUUGCAUCACGAAUUGACUCCUACCUGAUGACAACCCUUGCUUGGGGAUGAUUUUGAAAAAGAAUUUAUUUUCGGCUCAAACAGGGUGACAAUGGAUAUAUUUUUGCUUUUAGGUAAAGACAAGAAGGCCACACAUCAUUUUGAACUCUGAUUGCUUUAUUUUCAAAAGACUAAUUUUGCGACUAGAUGACCUCAACAUGAGUCGUUUUUUUUUCUUUUCUAGACCGCUCUUUCGGGUUUUCAAUCUAGUGGACUUAUUCUUCUUUUUUUUUUGUCUUUCUUUUUCAAUUUUUUUCUUUUUUUUUUCCAAUUUAUCCUGUGGGAUUCAGGGAUCACCCUACUAGCGCAAGCGAGAAAACCUUUGGUCAGGCCAAUCUGCCCCAGUGAAAAGGUUUGCUUUGUUAUUGAGGGCAGCGACGAUGUUAGUUGAAAGGGAAAUCCUUUAUUUUGGAAAAGUGAAGGGCGGAGGUUUUCAAGCAGCAUGUGCACAACGUCUUGAGAGAAAAGUCAAAAUUGUUAUUUUUGAUUUAACAUUUGACCUCGGAAAAGUCUGACACUACAACUUUUGCUUUUCUUUUUUUCUUUGCUAUCUUCGAGAAACAAGAGUUUGAUGAUUUGUAAAAAAGACAAGUGACUUAAGAUUGCCUUCAUUUUUUUCAAUUUUGUUUUCUUUUUUUUUUUUUUACAACACCCUUUCAGGACUCGAUUCCAGCACUACUUGGAGAAACCCUGUGGCGAAUGUUCGCAUUACGAGUAAUGGAUGACAUCAUGAUAUCAAUGAGUAUACUUCCCCGGUAGCAAGACUCUUCACAACAUCAAAUUCACUUGUAUGAUGGCUUAUGCUUUCUUAUGUGGCCCUAAAGCCUACUUCAUUUCAUCAUAGCAUCUGCAUAGACAUUCUCAAGUCGUGCCCCGACAUUAGACUGACUUUCUUCAAACUUUAACCAUCUUGAAUCAGUCAAAGAUUGGAUUUGAACUUGAACACCCAACACUUUUGAUGGAAUGAUCGAUAGCCUCCUCGUGGUAAUCACCUCUUGUAUCAUGAGUCUUGAGGUAUUGAGGCUUUAAAGGCUUCAUGUAUCAAGUAGAGACCAAACCCUCUUUUGCGCAGAACACUUGAAAGCAAUGUUGCAUAAGUCAUAUGUAUGGGAGUGAAACUCACAGGACCUUUGUCUUAAUCAACAUUUUUCUACCCGGCAACUUGGUAGGAGAUUGAGUUUGGAUCUGGUUUCCAAUUUUGUCUUGAAACCAUUUCAGAUGUAUGGUAAGGUCAUGGUAUUUGAGUGGUGGGAAAUGGUUGAGCUCUUUCUUGUCUCCUCCUCCCAUACUUAGACCCAACUUGUUCACAUUUGCCGCCAUGGUAGGACCUUUUACGAUCCUUUUAGUCUUCACACCAACUUUAAUUCUUUCUUCGAUAAACACCUUGUCAGCAAAGUUCGAGGAAACACCACUCAUCAUAUGCUCAUAGAAGGGUGAUUGCAGAGUAUUUAGAAUGUCUUAACCAUCUCGUUAUCACUCAUAAGAGUCUUUCCUUGAGCAACACUCUUUCUACCUUUGGGCAUAUUUUUGAAUGACUGAGUCCUUUUUCACCAUGCCCUACAGUUGUAAUCUGCGAAGCGCCACACCCAUGUUAUAUUUGAAAUGUCUCAAGAAAGCAUCCAUUAGAUCCUCCCAAAACUAGAUACACAAAUGUUCAAGAUGAGUGCCCCAAUUAGUGUCAUGCCAGUCAAACUCUCGAAAGAAAACGUCUUCAUGCAAUACAUCAUGAGAUGGCUCGUGGGACAAAUGGUUCUUUUGGGUAAUUUAAACUUUGAGAGAUGUCACCGCCUCUGGGAUUAAGCCUAGCCUCGCGACAUUUUCAAACUCAGCGCUUCCUUCGCCUUCUA
rnacentral:lncRNA from 1 species